GGGGUUGUAGCCCAGUGGUAGAGCGCUUGCCUAGCAUGCAUGAGGCACAGAGUUCGAUCCUCAUCACCA
rnacentral:tRNA from 1 species